AGCUUAGAAUCAAGGAGUGAGCCUCGGAACUUUCUUCUAGCGGACGAGAAGUGAUAGACUACGGGAGAAACUAAUCUUUGAGGUAGCCUUCGCCUAUACACAGUACAGGUUCUCUUGGUUUUUUCGCUGAUUCUAUGUGUUUCUUGACCAGGAUUGACGAAUUUCAAGGUACUCUAUGACACAAUGAGUGUGGUGAUGAGUUUGCUCGAGCGUGGAAGCAGUUUGUAAAAAGCAGGCAAGGACAAGCUAGCAGGACUCUCUUUCUCUCUUGCUCGACUCACACGCUCGCUCAGUGUUGUAGGAAGAAGCGGAAGACUGGACGCUUUAUACUGAGGCUGGGAAUCGGGACCACCUAUCACAGGAUGUUGAUCCCGAGGUAAUUGGAGCUUUGUUUAUGUUCUUUUCCAGAUCACGAUAAUUAUCAGGCUGAUGACUUUGUUUUCUUAGAUGCCGAGCUGUUCAAUCAUAUCGCACCGAAAUCCUUGACUGUGGGAUAAUCAGAUCACACCUACAAAAAGCUUUAAUUUGGUAAGCGUUCGUUUUCAUUGAAAGCUUUUUGUCUUAGUUUCUUUCUCUGUGAUCGACACUGGGACGAAAGGAUUCGUUGGUCCUCUGGCGCUGGAGCUCAAACUUUUGCCAUGGACGAAUCCAGAGAAGGAGAAAUCUAUAAAACGAUCGAAUUUGUAGUCAAUUUCAAGCACUUCCAUUCUUUCUGCUCUCCAGGCACGUGUGAAAGUUCUUGCUUUUGGUUCUCGACUUUCGGACCCACAGCGCAAAAACGUUCAUUCGUGGCUGCUAUCUCGCGCAGAAAGAAAACGUCCUAAACAAAAAGUCCUAGGCGAAAAGUUGGCAUUUAGUUCCACAAGCCCUAAACCAUAAAACCUCGCAAGAAAGUCACUUAAGAGAGAAAAACUGGAAGCAUUCAUUGGGAGCCAAAUCUCUUUGGAUCUUGGGCGUG
rnacentral:lncRNA from 1 species